GCGGAGAGAAAGCUGGGGGUAGAAAGAUUUAAGGUAAGGUACGACAGUAAUUGGAAAACACAACACUCGUACCAACGAACUGUAGAGACAGACCAGUUUAAUAAUCGGACGGAGGAUCUCAGCAUCGGACAGCAGCACCAUGAAGAGGUUUCUGCUGCUCUUCCUCUCACUGAUGACAGGCUGUGAGGCCAGCUCUAAGGUGAAGGGAUGCAGAGGUGGAUGGGUUACUUUUACCCGUGGAUACCCUGAGACAAAGAAAAUAUAUACAAGUAUUAAUGUAGAUUGGGAUAAUGAUGAGGACAAACAUGGAAAUCGAAAAAUUAUUGAAACCGAGGAAAAAAACGUGUGUAAAAGCAAAGGAAGAUUUUCCGUGUACCAUGAUAAUCAAAGUAAAGAUCUCAGGGUGGGCAUCAAAGAUAUUCAACAAGAAGAUUUUGGGGAGUACAAGUUGAAAUUUAGAACUGACAACAAUCGUAAUAAUGAAGACAAAGAAGAAGUGGAAUUGAAAUUAGGAUGUGCACCUUGUAUGAGAACAAACAGAGGAGUAUGAACAUAACGCUAACAGAAGAAGAAGAAGAAGAAGAAGAAGAAGAAGAAGA